CAUAAACAUAACAGAUAUCAAUAUCACACACCAGACUCUGCCCAAUUCAACCAAAUCAGAAAUUUUUAAUUUUAAAGAGAAAUUUUUUUAUCCCCUUCAUGAACGAGUCCAAUAAUAAUGCCAAAAUCUGUUUGUAUACCCAAAUGUCAUGAACGUCAUCGAAGAUUGAUCGUGGGAGAACUAAGGUUCUCAAUUCGAAAUUUGGUACUUUGUAGACGUUGAUGACGGAGCAGAAGGUGCAGCAAUUGGCAUCCAGGCAUUUGAAACUAUGAGGCUACUUUGACUCGAUGACCAGUAAGUUUGAGGUGAACACUUUCGGUCACGAGACCAAUCGGAAAAACAGCCAUCAUUUCCGACAUUAGCUCCCUGUAUGCUGGUGGAAGGCACACGUUCAUUUAUUUGAUGAAAAUUCUGCCUCUGGAAUUUGCCGUUAUGAAUGUAGAAUGCAAUUAAUUACUUUACGUUCGCGUGCAAAUAAAAAUUAUGUACCAUUUGGCUUGAAUAUGGCAGCUGAUGUGGCAUCAUUCCGCCAAGUUGUUGCCCCUGCAUUUGGCAUGAUAUCGCUGCCUGGCUGCAUUGGAUUUGCUGACGGUAAGGUUGGUAUUCCAAUGGCUGGGUAAAUGAAAGUGCUUGGGAAGAAAGAAAAGAUCUCGCUUGCUCAUUGUUCGCGUUAUCAAGCUCAGUGGUAGUUGAUGGAGGAGUUGAACGAGCCAGCGUUUCUCCAGUUUGGAUGGCAAAGUUUUGAAGAUACUGCGGCAUCGUCAGCAAGACGCAAUGUCGCGAGUUUGGAUGAAGUCGAUGUAGUUGUUCUGUUGCCAAUGGAGAUUUGAAAUAUCGACAACUUCGACAUAUACGUCCUCUACGCCAAUCACUAGCCCGUCGAUUUGCAAACCAGGUCUGCUCAAAGCAUAAUAGAACAUAGCAACUGUUAAUCAAGGCAAAAUAAUAAUGCAAUUGUAAUUGAUACUUGAACGCGCGCUGCAUCUAUUUUGCAGUGGAGAGCCAUAGUUCCAUACUGAAAUCUAUCUGGGUAAGGGUUGAUAGAGUACAGUUGUUUGAGCCAAUUUACAACGUCAAACGAAAGUCUUCUCUGUAACGACCCUUUAAAAAGAAAUUUAUGAAUUGGCAAGAAAUUAACAAAAUAAAAAAACAAAAAACAUAGGCCAUGCUGCCAAGUAUAACAUUUCAGAAUAUGUAGAACAGUCGACGAUCAAACAUGGCAGUCAACAGGUGUCUGUGAGUAAGUGUGUGACUGAGGGGACAAGAUGCAAGCGAUCGACCAUGUGCUCAGACUAGGCGGCCAUCAAUUAAUCUCGUGCAUCCUUCAGGAGCUCCAAGACUUCUGGAGCAUCAUCGGCUGAAGCCUUCCACUGAUCGUCUUUCAACAGAUCCUGAUCGAUUUCGUCAUCAACAUCAGGAUGCUGAUGAAGAUACGUUGGGUGUUCUAAAAUGGCUCCUCCUGGUUCCUGUUAAGGGCAAAGAAAAAAACGUAAAUAAACCAAAAGGCGUCGAGUGAAGGCAUUCGAGCAAACUCCUUUCUUAGUUCUAGUCGUUCAUUUUCCUUGUUCUUUCUUAAUUCUUCACACGUAUUCCAAUUAGCUAUCAAACUCGUCUUUUUUAAAAUUGUGUGACGGGUUUGUGUUGGUUUUAAAUUCGUCUGUCGGAUGAUCGCAAUCAGCGUCGGAUGUUUCAUGAAACUUUUGUGUCAAGAACAAAUUCGGAAAUCAACAAAAAUGAGUGUCGGUGAUUGUUUGUGCGAAAUCCUGCAUUCGAAAUCAGCCAAUUCAACAAUUAUCAUGCCAGGUGAAAACAACGGAGUCAAAAGUGGGCCCGGAGAUGAGAAAAACAGCAAAUUCAUCCGAUUAUUUACAGUUGUAGCUUACGUUUGCAGCGUUUCUAUAGCAGCUGCUUUGCUUUCUUUGUACUAUUUCUUUAUCUGGGAUCCGACAACUUAUGAGAAUAGUCUUCUAACCGUCACAACCAAGAACGCGUCUUACCUUUUCGGUCCGUCCCACCCGGCCGACAAGAGUAGUAGUAUGAAUGCCACUGGUCCUCUUUUACGGCCACUCCUUGGCAACUGCAGCGGCAGCAAUGACGCGCAAGGCAAUCUAACAUCGCAUUUGAUGCAAGACAAACCAUCUGCUGCCUUCUAAAAAGGAUGUACACAACACAUUGGCACCGAAACGCUUUCAAGACAAUCAAAUUCAGCUUUCCCGUUUUUCUAGCGUACUGACAUUAACUCGUAUGAAAAUCCUUUUGUAUUUUGUUGUUCACAAUCCUCGUUGCGAGGUAGGUGCACACUGUUUUCUGACACAAGGCGUACUAAAAAUAAACAAGGAGGAAAUGAA
rnacentral:lncRNA from 1 species